rnacentral:sRNA from 1 species
GGACGGCGCGGCACGGAAGCCGCGACGAGGACGGCUGCGCCAGGGAGUGGCGCAUCCGGACGGUCCGUCA